rnacentral:lncRNA from 1 species
GGCUCUUAAAUUUUUAAUCAAAUCUUAAUAUAAUUAAAAAUUUAUUGAACUAAAAUUUUGAUAAAAUUAGAGAUAAUUCUUCCUUAGCGAUUAGGUCAUCUCAUAACCUAAUCGGGUCAAACCUAAUUGAAUCAAAUUCAAUUAGUUUUGAUCCAAAUAUCAUUGCUCAAUUAAAUUAAACUAAUUAAUAUUUUAAUUACUAAUUUAUCUUUCAUUAAUUUACUAAUGCUUAGCAAAUUAUUUCAUCAUAACUUUUGCUUAAGAUUAAUCAUCAAUCAAAUUGACGAUUACACCCUUGAAUGAUUCUUAAUCAUUGAUCAACCAC